rnacentral:rRNA from 1 species
UACGUAGGGAGCAAGCGUUGUCCGGAAUCAUUGGGCGUAAAGCGCGCGUAGGCGGCCCUGUAAGUCCGUUGUGAAAGUCAAAGGCUCAACCUUUGAAAGCCGAUGGAUACUGCAGGGCUAGAGUCCGGAAGGGGCGAGUGGAAUUCCUGGUGUAGCGGUGGAAUGCGCAGAUAUCAGGAGGAACACCAAUAGCGAAGGCAGCUCGCUGGGACGGUACUGACGCUAAGGCGCGAAAGCGUGGGGAGCGAACAGG